UGCCUUGUUGUUGUUGUUGUUGUUGUUGUUGAAACCAACAACAGCACCACCAGCUGAAAAAAAAUGGGUACCUCGAAAAAAAAGCAUUCUCUUUUUUCGAUCGAAAAAUUCCAAGAAAAAAAAACAUGUGAGACUGCGAGGACACAGGGC
rnacentral:rRNA from 1 species